rnacentral:rRNA from 1 species
UACGUAGGGUGCGAGCGUUAUUCGGAAUUACUGGGCGUAAAGUGUGCGCAGGCGGCCGCGCAAGUCGAGUGUGAAAUCCCCGAGCUUAACUUGGGAAUUGCGCUCGAAACUACGUGGCUGGAGUGUGGCAGAGGAAGGUGGAAUUCCACGUGUAGCGGUGAAAUGCGUAGAGAUGUGGAGGAACACCGAUGGCGAAGGCAGCCUUCUGGGCCAACACUGACGCUCAUGCACGAAAGCGUGGGGAGCAAACAGG